AACGAACGCUGGCGGCAGGCUUAACACAUGCAAGUCGAGCGGGCCCUUCGGGGUCAGCGGCAGACGGGUGAGUAACACGUGGGAACGUACCUUUUGGUUCGGAACAACUCCGGGAAACUGGAGCUAAUACCGGAUAAGCCCUUAGGGGGAAAGAUUUAUUGCCAAAAGAUCGGCCCGCGUCUGAUUAGCUAGUUGGUGGGGUAACGGCCCACCAAGGCGACGAUCAGUAGCUGGUCUGAGAGGAUGAUCAGCCACACUGGGACUGAGACACGGCCCAGACUCCUACGGGAGGCAGCAGUGGGGAAUAUUGGACAAUGGGCGCAAGCCUGAUCCAGCCAUGCCGCGUGAGUGAUGAAGGCCUUAGGGUUGUAAAGCUCUUUUGUCCGGGAAGAUAAUGACUGUACCGGAAGAAUAAGCCCCGGCUAACUUCGUG
rnacentral:rRNA from 1 species